AAAGUACUCCCUCCGUCCCAAAAUUCUUGUCUUAGCUUUGUCUAGAUACGGAUGUAUCAAGUCACAUUUUAGUAUUAGAUACAUCCGUAUCUAGACAAAUCUAAGACAAGAAAUUUGGGACAGAGGGAGUAGUUG
rnacentral:pre_miRNA from 1 species